UACGUAGGGUGCGAGCGUUAAUCGGAAUUACUGGGCGUAAAGCGUGCGCAGGCGGUGAUGUAAGACCGAUGUGAAAUCCCCGGGCUUAACCUGGGAACUGCAUUGGUGACUGGCAGGCUUUGAGUGUGGCAGAGGGAGGUAGAAUUCCACGUGUAGCAGUGAAAUGCGUAGAGAUGUGGAGGAAUACCGAUGGCGAAGGCAGCCCCCUGGGUCAAGAUUGACGCUCAUGCACGAAAGCGUGGGGAGCAAACAGG
rnacentral:rRNA from 1 species